rnacentral:rRNA from 1 species
AACGCGAAGAACCUUACCAAGGCUUGACAUACACCGGAAUCAUGCAGAGAUGUGUGCGUCUUCGGACUGGUGUACAGGUGGUGCAUGGUUGUCGUCAGCUCGUGUCGUGAGAUGUUGGGUUAAGUCCCGCAACGAGCGCAACCCUCGUUCCAUGUUGCCAGCACUUCGGGUGGGGACUCAUGGGAGACUGCCGGGGUCAACUCGGAGGAAGGUGGGGAUGACGUCAAAUCAUCAUGCCCCUUAUGUCUUGGGCUUCACGCAUGCUACAAUGGCCGGUACAGAGGGUUGCGAAACCGUGAGGUGGAGCUAAUCCCAAAAAACCGGUCUCAGUUCGGAUUGGGGUCUGCAACUCGACCCCAUGAAGUCGGAGUCGCUAGUAAUCGCAGAUCAGCAACGCUGCGGUGAAUACGUUCCCGGGUCUUGUACACACCG